rnacentral:rRNA from 1 species
AUACGUAGGGGGCGAGCGUUGUCCGGAAUGAUUGGGCGUAAAGGGCGCGUAGGCGGCCCGGUAAGUCUGGAGUGAAAGUCCUGUUUUUAAGAUGGAAAUUGCUUUGGAUACUGUCGGGCUUGAGUGCAGGAGAGGUAAGUGGAAUUCCCAGUGUAGCGGUGAAAUGCGUAGAGAUUGGGAGGAACACCAGUGGCGAAGGCGACUUACUGGACUGUAACUGACGCUGAGGCGCGAAAGUGUGGGGAGCAAACAGGAUUAGAUACCCUGGUAGUCCACACUGUAAACGAUGAAUGCUAGGUGUAGGGGGUAUCAACCCCUUCUGUGCCGCAGUCAACACAAUAAGCAUUCCGCCUGGGGAGUACGGCCGCAAGGUUGAAACUCAAAUGAAUUGACGGGG